CACGUAGGGUGCGAGCGUUGUCCGGAAUUAUUGGGCGUAAAGAGCUCGUAGGCGGUGUGUUGCGUCGGCCGUGAAAACCUGCAGCUUAACUGUGGGCGUGCGGUCGAUACGGGCAUCACUGGAGUUCGGCAGGGGAGACUGGAAUUCCUGGUGUAGCGGUGAAAUGCGUAGAUAUCUGAAGGAACAUCAGGGGCGAAAGCGACUUCCUGGACCAAUACUGACGCUCAUGUGCGAAAGCUAGGGGAGCAAACGGG
rnacentral:rRNA from 1 species